rnacentral:rRNA from 1 species
CCGGUUGAUCCUGCCGGAGGCCACUGCUAUGGGGGUCCGACUAAGCCAUGCGAGUCAUGGGGCGCCUUGCGCGCACCGGCGGACGGCUCAGUAACACGUCGGUAACCUACCCUCGGGAGGGGGAUAACCCCGGGAAACUGGGGCUAAUCCCCCAUAGGCCUGAGGUACUGGAAGGUCCUUAGGCCGAAAGGGUCUUUGACCGCCCGAGGAUGGGCCGGCGGCCGAUUAGGUAGUUGGUGGGGUAACGGCCCACCAAGCCGAAGAUCGGUACGGGCCAUGAGAGUGGGAGCCCGGAGAUGGACACUGAGACACGGGUCCAGGCCCUACGGGGCGCAGCAGGCGCGAAACCUCCGCAAUGCGGGCAACCGCGACGGGGGGACCCCCAGUGCCGUGGCAUCGCCACGGCUUUUCCGGAGUGUAAAGAGCUYCGGGAAUAAGGGCUGGGCAAGGCCGGUGGCAGCCGCCGCGGUAAUACCGGCGGCCCGAGUGGUGGCCGCUAUUAUUGGGCCUAAAGCGUCCGUAGCCGGGCCCGCAAGUCCCUGGCGAAAUCCCACGGCUCAACCGUGGGGCUUGCUGGGGAUACUGGGGGCCUUGGGACCGGGAGAGGCRGAGGGUACUCCUGGGGUAGGGGUGAAAUCCUAUAAUCCCCAGGAGGACCGCCAGUGGCGAAGGCGCUCCGCUGGAACGGGUCCGACGGUGAGGGACGAAGGCCAGGGGAGCGAACCGGAUUARAUACCCGGGUAGUCCUGGCUGUAAAGGAUGCGGGCUAGGUGUCGGGCGAGCUUCGUGCUCGCUCGGUGCCGAAGRGAAGCCGUUAAGCCCGCCGCCUGGGGAGUACGGCCGCAAGGCUGAAACUUAAAGGAAUUGGCGGGGGAGCACUACAAGGGGUGGAGCGUGCGGWUUAAUAGGAUUCAACGCCGGGAACCUCACCGRGGGCGACGGCAGRAUGAAGGCCAGGCUGAAGGUCUUGCCRGACACGCCGAGAGGAGGUGCAUGGCCGCCGUCAGCUCGUACCGUGAGGCGUCCACUUAAGUGURGUAACGAGCGAGACCCGCGCCCCCAGUUGCCAGUCCUCCCCGCUGGGGAGGAGGCACUCUGGGGGGACCGCCGGCAAUAAGCCGGAGGAAGGAGCSGGCGACGGUAGGUCAGUAUGCCCCGAAACCCCCGGGCUACACGCGCGCUACAAUGAGCGGGACAAUGGGACCCGACCCCGAAAGGGGAAGGUAAUCCCCUAAACCCGCUCCCAGUUCGGAUCGCGGGCUGCAACUCGCCCGCGUGAAGCUGGAAUCCCUAGUACCCGCGUGUCAUCAUCGCGCGGCGAAUACGUCCCUGCUCCUUGCACUCACCGCCCGUC